GACCGCGUAGCUCAGUUCAUGGAAGAGCAUUGGGCUAGUAUUCCAAAGGUCGUAGGUUCGAAUCCCACCGUGGCCG